AUACGAACCGGACGAACGUUAUUCGGAAUCACUGGGCUUAAAGAGUACGUAGGCGGCCUGGUAAGUUGGAUGUGAAAGCCCUCGGCCCAACCGAGGAAUUGCGUUCAAAACUACCAGACUUGAGGGAGACAGAGGUGAGCGGAACUGAUGGUGGAGCGGUGCAAUGCGUUGAUAUCAUCAGGAACACCGGUGGCGAAGGCGGCUCACUGGGUCUCUUCUGACGCUGAGGUACGAAAGCUAGGGGAGCGAACGGGAUUAGAAACCCCAGUAGUCC
rnacentral:rRNA from 1 species